rnacentral:rRNA from 1 species
AACGAACGCUGGCGGCAUGCCUAACACAUGCCAGUCGAACGAGACCUUCGGGUCUAGUGGCGCACGGGUGCGUAACGCGUGGGGACCUGCCCUUAGGUUCGGAAUAACUCAGAGAAAUUUGAGCUAAUACCGGAUAAUGUCUUCGGACCAAAGAUUUAUCGCCUUUGGAUGGGCCCGCGUAGGAUUAGCUUGUUGGUGGGGUAAUGGCCUACCAAGGCGACGAUCCUUAGCUGGUCUGAGAGGAUGAUCAGCCACACUGGGACUGAGACACGGCCCAGACUCCUACGGGAGGCAGCAGUGGGGAAUAUUGGACAAUGGGCGAAAGCCUGAUCCAGCAAUGCCGCGUGAGUGAUGAAGGCCUUAGGGUUGUAAAGCUCUUUUACCAGGGAUGAUAAUGACAGUACCUGGAGAAUAAGCUCCGGCUAACUCCGUG